GGCGCGAAUACACUUCAGCAUAACAGGCCGAAGAUGAAACGGGGGGAAUAGAAGACCCCAAGCCGGCGUAAAAUCCUCGGUCUGGCUCUAAACGGGUGACUACUACUCGUCUCGCAGGUGAUAGACAGAUAAUAGUAGGGCGAAAUUUCCUUGGAAUGGGCCUCGUCUCGCACUUAAAAUUCUCCUUGAACUGGGGAUUCCAGUAGGAAGGUGCAAAGGGCCUGUUCAGUCGAUGGGCCCGCGUCGUUGGAUUCCGAUUCUACUUGGAGUCGGGUUGUUUGGGGAACGCAGCCCAAAAUUGGGGUGGGUAAACUUCAAUCUAAAGGGCUUAAAAUUACGGGCCACGGAAAACCGGAUUAGCAAAACAAGGUUACCCGUGGAGGGGAAAAGUUUGAAAAAAGUACUUUUUGAAAGAAGAAGAAGUUUCAAAGAAAGGAACGUUGAAAAACCCGGGUUAGGGAAUGGCAAAACGGGAAUAGAAGCCCAAAACGAAACAAAGCCCCCGGUUAUUUUCAAGCCUUAGUCCGGGCUUGCCGGUGCCGGGAAUGACCUGGUGUGGCUUCGUUUCAAGGGGGGCCAUGGAGUGGAUGUGCCGGGUAUGCCGGCCGCGCUUAGUGCCUAUUUACCGGGGGGAAGGGACGCCUGAAGGCUUGUGGGCGAAUAACCCUGGCAAAACUAG
rnacentral:rRNA from 1 species